UACGAAGGGGCUAGCGUUGUUCGGAAUCACUGGGCGUAAAGCGCACGUAGGCGGAUUUUUAAGUCAGGGUGAAAUCCGAAGGCUCAACCUCGGAACUGCCUUUGAUACUGGAGAUCUUGAGUCCGGAAGAGGUAAGUGGAACUGCGAGUGUAGAGGUGAAAUUCGUAGAUAUUGGGAAGAACACCGGUGGCGAAGGCGGCGACCUGGUCCUUGACUGACGCUGAGGCGCGAAAGCGUGGGGAGCAAACAGG
rnacentral:rRNA from 1 species